rnacentral:rRNA from 1 species
AGUGCGUAAUAGCUCACUGGUCGAGUGAAGUUGCGCGGAAAAUUACCGGGGCUAAGCUAUACACCGAAAUUGCGGAUUUAUACUUGAAAGAUAGUAUAAGUGGUAGAGGAGCAUUCUGUUGUAGGACGAAGCAUGAUCGAGAGGACAUGUGGACGAAGCAGAAGAGAGAAUGCUGGAAUAAGUAGCGAGAGCAAGGUGAGAAUCCUUGCCGUCGAAAAUCUAAGGUUUCCUGGGGAAGGUUCGUCCGCCCAGGGUAAGUCGGGACCUAAGGAGAGGCCGAGAGGCGUAUCUGAUGGACAGCAGGUAGAAAAUUCCUGCACUACAGACAUACUUAAAAGAUGCAAGGGACACAGGAGUGGAAGAUAAGCGAGGAAGAGGAAAAACUCGUAUCGAAAGAUAUAGUGAAAAUAAAAAGUAACGAAUUAUCAAGAAGCACACUGGCGAGAAAAGCUUGUAGAUAUUGUAUGAAAGUACCCGUACCGCAAACCGACACAGGUAGAUGAGGAGAGGAUCCUAAGACGAACGGGAGAAGCAUUGUUAAGGAACUCGGCAAAUUGACCCCGUAACUUCGGAAUAAGGGGUGCCUAUGUAACAGUAGGUCGCAGAGAAUAGGCCCAAGCAACUGUUUAACAAAAACACAGGUUUCUGCUAAAUCGAAAGAUGAAGUAUAGGAGCUGACGCCUGCCCAGUGCUGGAAGGUCAAGGGGAAGAGUUAGGGUUAAACCGAAGCUUAGAACCAAAGCCCCAGUGAACGGCGGCCGUAACUAUAACGGUCCUAAGGUAGCGAAAUUCCUUGUCAGGUAAGUUCUGACCCGCACGAAAGGCGUAAUGAUUUGGGCACUGUCUCGACAAUGUACCCGGCGAAAUUGUAGUACUAGUGAAGAUGCUAGUUACCUGCGACAAGACAGAAAGACCCCAUGGAGCUUUACUGCAGCUUGAUACUGGGUUUUGACAAUUUAUGUACAGGAUAGGUGGGAGACGAAGAAAGUUAGGCGUCAGCUUAACUGGAGUCAUCCUUGGGAUACCACCCUUAAGUUGUUGAAAUUCUAACUAUUGAUCGUGAACCGGUCAGAGGACAAUGUCAGGCGGGCAGUUUGACUGGGGCGGUCGCCUCCUAAAGAGUAACGGAGGCGCCCAAAGGUUUCCUCAGCGCGGACAGAAAUCGCGCGAAAGAGUGUAAAGGCAGAAGGAAGCUUAACUGAGAGACAGACAUGUCGACCAGAUACGAAAGUAGGGCUUAGUGAUCCGGCGGUAGUGAAUGGAAAUGCCGUCGCUCAACGGACAAAAGUUACCCUGGGGAUAACAGGCUUAUCUCCCCCAAGAGUUCACAUCGACGGGGAGGUUUGGCACCUCGAUGUCGGCUCAUCGCAUCCUGGAGCGGAAGUACGUUCCAAGGGUUGGGCUGUUCGCCCAUUAAAGCGGUACGCGAGCUGGGUUCAGAACGUCGUGAGACAGUUCGGUCCUUAUCUGUCGCAGGCGCAAGAUAUUUGAAGGGAGCUGUCCUUAGUACGAGAGGACCAGGAUGGACAUACCGAUGGUGUAUCAGUUGUCACACCAGUGGCACGGCUGAGUAGCUAAGUAUGGAAGGGAUAAACGCUGAAAGCAUCUAAGUGUGAAGCCCACCCUAAGAUAAGAUAUCUCAUAUCGUAAGAUAGUAAGAAUCCACGUAGACUAUGUGGUUGAUAGGUUGGAGGUGUAAGUGCAGUAAUGUAUUAAGCUGACCAAUACUAAUAAUUCGAGGGCUUAACCAC